UACGUAGGGGGCAAGCGUUAUCCGGAAUUACUGGGUGUAAAGGGUGAGUAGGCGGCAUGGUAAGCCAGAUGUGAAAGCCUUGGGCUUAACCCGAGGAUUGCAUUUGGAACUAUCAAGCUAGAGUACAGGAGAGGAAAGCGGAAUUCCUAGUGUAGCGGUGAAAUGCGUAGAUAUUAGGAAGAACACCAGUGGCGAAGGCGGCUUUCUGGACUGAAACUGACGCCGAGGCACGAAAGCGUGGGGAGCGAACAGG
rnacentral:rRNA from 1 species